GCGCGAUCUCGGCUCACGCCAUUCUCCUGCCUCAGCCUCCCGAGUAGCUGGGACCACGGGCACCCGCCACCACGCCCGGCUAAUUUUUUGUAUCUUUUAAUAGAGACGGGGUUUCACCGUGUUAGCCAGGAUGGUCUCCAUCUCCUGAUCUCAUGAUGUGCCUGCCUCGGCCUCCCAAAGUGCUGGGAUUACAGGCAUGAGCCACCACGCCCUGCCAAUCUGGCUUUCUUAAUGAUGUAGGUUUUUCUCUUAGAAAGAACAUCCACCACAUUUCCAUACCUAUUUUUGAACAACAAGACAGGUUUUCAGAACUCAUGUUCUUCAUUAGUCAAAUUCACCCCUGCCCCACCUCACCAUGCCUGCCUUCAGUCCUAAGACUGAGGAUGAGUUCUGCAGGCACCAGCUGCUUUGUUCCUUAUAAAUAGGGGUUUCCCAGCUAGUCUGGAGUGAUGAGU
rnacentral:lncRNA from 1 species